GCAGGUGUAGUUCAUCGGUAGAAUACCAGCUUCCCAAGCUGGGGAGACGGGUUCGAUUCCCGCCACCUGCU
rnacentral:tRNA from 3 species